rnacentral:rRNA from 1 species
CACGUAGGGCGCAAGCGUUUGUCCGGAAUUAUUGGGCGUAAAGAGCUCGUAGGCGGUCUGUUGCGUCCGCUGUGAAAACCCGGGGCUUAACCCCUGGCUUGCAGUGGAUACGGACAGACUAGAGGUAGGUAGGGGAGAAUGGAAUUCCCGGUGUAGCGGUGAAAUGCGCAGAUAUCGGGAGGAACACCGGUGGCGAAGGCGGUUCUCUGGGCCUUACCUGACGCUGAGGAGCGAAAGCGUGGGGAGCGAACAGG